rnacentral:rRNA from 1 species
GACGAACGCUGGCGGCGUGCUUAACACAUGCAAGUCGAACGAAGAGCGAUGGAAGCUUGCUUCUAUCAAUCUUAGUGGCGAACGGGUGAGUAACGCGUAAUCAACCUGCCCUUCAGAGAGGGACAACAGUUGGAAACGACUGCUAAUACCGCAUACGAUCUAAUCUCGGCAUCGAGGAUAGAUGAAAGGUGGCCUCUACAUGUAAGCUAUCACUGAAGGAGGGGAUUGCGUCUGAUUAGCUAGUUGGAGGGGUAACGGCCCACCAAGGCGAUGAUCAGUAGCCGGUCUGAGAGGAUGAACGGCCACAUUGGGACUGAGACACGGCCCAGACUCCUACGGGAGGCAGCAGUGGGGAAUCUUCCGCAAUGGACGAAAGUCUGACGGAGCAACGCCGCGUGAGUGAUGACGGCCUUCGGGUUGUAAAGCUCUGUUAAUCGGGACGAAAGGCCUUCUUGCGAAUAGUUAGA